UCCGCGACUGUAUGUACUGAGAUCUAUGCAUCAAACACACUAAUGCGGAUAUUUUUCUCUACUCUUGGGCUGCUUGUUCAGAUGGAAACAGUGUUUUAGGUCACAAAAACAGAUUUUCCCAAAAGUGCACAGCUUUAAAACUCCAGUUUGUGUGCAAGGUGGAAAACAACGGCGUCACACCCCAUUUUGCUCAUGUGUGUUAUUGCUUUGUGUAAUGAAGCUGCACAUAAACAUCAAAUCCAGGCGAAUAAAUUAGUGUAUGACCCAUGGAGGUAGGAUACCACUGGGAGACAGACCUGGACCAGUAUUAUAGACGAAUCCAUACAAUAUAAAGAAUACACUCUUACAACACUUAAGGUGACAGAAGUUUUUUUCUACUGGUUUGUAGUUAUAUUUGCAGAGGGUGGACGGAGACAUGUUGUAAACUGAAAGUUGUGUCGCUUUUUUGCUUUGUUUUUUUUUUUGUCUUUGUUUUUUGGCAGUCAUCUUCUGAUCCACAGUCCCAUCCAGUAGGUGAUAGUAAUGCACCGUAAAGCUGGUUACCAACUGCCAACAAAAACCAAAGAAAAGAAGAGGUUAUGUGGACAGAAUAUUUUUUAAAAUAGAGGAAGAAAAUACUUUGAAAAAUAUCUGUGUUAUGUUAGUAAGGGCAAAAUAACUCUAGUCUACACCUAGCAAAUGAUGGUGAUGGUGAUGCACCCUAAAAACUUGACGCCACCUGCGAUAAAAUCUACAAAAGAUAAGGAUGUCCAUUUGGAGUUACUGUGCACAUACAACUAACAACCUAUAAAUCACUUAUUUUAAACUACCAAAACAUUUAUUUUCAUGACUAUACACUAAUAAAAACAUUCCAUUUUUAGCAUUUAGAUCGUCCUAAAUCCCCCUAAAAUCAUACAUGCUUCCCCUUUAGGAUGGCUGAUGUGACACUGUUUAUAAAGUGGAGAUGUGAACCCAAAAUGUCACAGAGAGUGAGGAGUAAGAUGGAGUCCUGACAGUUAUUGGUCCUUACACAACCUGUUUUUAUGUCCUCGCUGAACAGGCUUGUCAUUGGUGGAAAGCUUCCGACAGAGGAUGCAUUUCCUGACACCUGAAAACUGUCCAGGAGGAGGUGCAGAACUCUUAAUAUCCUUUCAGACCGCUCGAAUCCCAACCGACUGAAAGGUUAUUGGGGGUUAUUAUAAACAGAAGAAUAUUGCCUACUGUAGCUUUAACUGAAACUAGUGGUUUAACUUAUUGUACUGCUGUAACUAUACAUGAAAAACACACAGAUCUGAUGGCUGUCGACCAAAAUUCUCCCGAUCGUCUCUGACUGAGCUUUUAGAAUCUGACUCAAUUAGCAUCAUAACACCUCUGCCUCUUGCCUUACAUUAACUUUCUGCCUCUGCCUACGCACGUUCAUCCUCUCUUUUGUCUCUCUGCAUGAUUUUGCGCGACCUCGUGGCUCACACACACACACACACACUAAUCUUUCACUGUGACCUGUUCUGUAGCAUCAGCGUGCAUAAGUGUGCGCACGUGUGCCAUAAAACCAUCCAGUGUGCGUGUCCCUACGGUAUAUACGAGUGGGUGUUAACAUGCAUGUGCUCAGGUGUGCCCUGCAACAAAGGCUAAAUAUUGGUUUUUACUGUACGUGGUUAUUCUGCCUGUCGUCUGUUAUCAGUUCAAAUUGGUCAUAUUGAUGAAAAUAGGCAUGCAUUUGUUGCGCUGUGAGUCACACGAGCCUGCAAAUUUAAUAUUACAGGUGGUGUUUUGGUAACAGGGAUCUGCCCACAUGGCUUUAACUUUCAGGCUUUUUUUUUCUUUUUUCUCAUUUAGUUUGUGUUGGGUUCCAUUGUUAAGUUCCAGUGAAGUUUUGUCAUUCAGAGACAACAGGAAACCCGGCUGCCGCUGUGGUCAUUUGCUGCUUUCCAAUGAGUCAGGGUUGUAAUUUGAAUAUUCAUGCAGGGGCCACAUUGUUUAUUGACCACCCACUCUGCAGUAACCUGUGGCUUUUCUUGUUUGUUAGUUCCCUUUUCUUUGUUUUUGGACUCAAAUUAAAAAUAGCUGUCGGCAUGAUUAAAAGACUUCAAUGUGAUUUUCAAGCAUCCUGAACAGCUGCUGAGAAUAUAUUUGUAUUUGUUUAAUUUUUCCUGUCUGAUUCAAGUAUUUUACUGCUGGGAGAAAAAUGGGUAAUUCCCAUAGUCUCUGCUGUUGUUCAUUCUGGAUGAAUGUCUCCUCUGUAUAAUUUGUUUGAACACAUUUUUUUGUUUAAUUGUAACAAGAGCCGUCAAGAAAAUGUCUGUGAUGUAAAAUGUGCAAAAGGAAAACAAUUGAUACGAGAUAUAGCUUCUAUAUAUAGCUUCUAUACAUAUAUAUAUAAUAUAUAUAUUCAAAGACAAAGUAUAAAAUAUAAAGACUACCAUUUCGAUCUUUUCUAAGAAUGUAUUUUGAUUAUGUAAAUGAACACUAUGAUUCUGCUUGAUUUAAAAAAGAAAAUAACUAAAAAAAAAGGCCUAUUCUAUGGCGUCUCUCAUAUCGUUUAGGUAUGGGGUUAAAACAGCAGCAUUAAAUAAAAUGCAUGGUGAUCUUCUGUCUCCUGUUCAUGGUUAAAAAGCUGUUUAUUUACCAGCACUGUGUCAGUCAGUGAGACUGUAUCGUGAGGCUGUCUAGCCUUUUCCACAGGGCUAUGGACGUUCUUGAGGGUUUCUUUUUCGGUGUUUUGCAUAUCUGCUGCUGCUAUGAACAACUCUGAUCCAGUCAGCCUCUGCUAUAAUGACCUUUGUUGUGUGAUCGAUUGAGAAUAUUCCACUUUAAUGCAUCAACUGCAAGGACUUUGCAUUUACUUACAAAUAAAGAGAAACAUUUACAGAAUAUGUCA